GCAUGGGAGGGUAAAGGGAGAACAAAAGCAAACGGCAAUGAAAUUGAUUUAGGGUUGGACACGCCACGCUUGGCCCCAAACAUCCUCCCACAUGGUUUUGUGAAAACAGGACAGAGACAUAAGAUGUAGUGCCGUCUUGUGGUGGCUCAACUAUCCCACACAAACCACUAUUUCUUUGGAGAUGUAGGACCUUCUUCAUAAUUCACACCACAAAAAGCUACUUCCAC
rnacentral:lncRNA from 1 species